UACACCUAGUGUUCGGCCGCCGGAACCUUGUUGCCAGGGGAGACGGCCGCUUUACGGCAGCACGUUUGAACCGGCAGGAGGGAAAAGUUUCUCUCGCCUUGCCGUACGCAGGCUUUCGGCCCUUUUUCACAGGUACUUCCAUGACGGUGAAAUUCUUUCCUGGAUGAGGUGGGCUGGCCUCAUCUGUACAGGCCUUCAGGGAAAUUAAGAGUGAAAGCACAAAUGUGAGCCAUCCCUGAUCUCUGAGAAUUAAUGGCUGUUCUGCAUUUCAGGAGGAGGGGAUUCCAUUUUCCACCUGCCUUGUAACCAGAGAUCCCUACUAAGGCACGUCUUGUUCUCCUCGAUUCUUCUCUGCUCCUGGACAUGCCAGGAAUUCAGCUGCAGUUGUGAGCCAGCGUGGGUUAGAUGUGAGAAAUGGAAGAACUUUUGCAGCUGCUCCUGAGUCAGGGAACAAAAUUUUAAGUGUAUUAAGUGUGUUAGCUGAAUCGAAUAUCUGAAGAACAAAAACAAAAGAAAGAAAGGAAAAUCUCCCAAAGUGUGCUUUUCAAAUGCUUGUUUGUGAAC